UACGUAGGUCCCGAGCGUUGUCCGGAUUUAUUGGGCGUAAAGCGAGCGCAGGUGGUUUAUUAAGUCUGGUGUAAAAGGCAGUGGCUCAACCAUUGUAUGCAUUGGAAACUGGUAGACUUGAGUGCAGGAGAGGAGAGUGGAAUUCCAUGUGUAGCGGUGAAAUGCGUAGAUAUAUGGAGGAACACUGGUGGCAAAAGCGGCUCUCUGGCCUGUAACUGACACUGAGGCUCGAAAGCGUGGGGAGCAAACAGG
rnacentral:rRNA from 1 species